AGUGACUGAGCCUGUAAAGACAAUUUCUUGAUGUCUUUACAGGCUCAGUCACUCA
ensembl:miRNA